UACGGGGGGGCAAGCGUUGUUCGGAAUUACUGGGCGUAAAGGGCGCGUAGGCGGCCUGUUAAGUCGAACGUGAAAUCCCCAGGCUCAACUCGGGAACUGCGUCCGAUACUGGCAGGCUUGAAUCCGGGAGAGGGAUGCGGAAUUCCAGGUGUAGCGGUGAAAUGCGUAGAUAUCUGGAGGAACACCGGUGGCGAAGGCGGCAUCCUGGACCGGCAUUGACGCCUGAGGCGCGAAAGCCAGGGGAGCAAACGGGG
rnacentral:rRNA from 1 species